rnacentral:tRNA from 1 species
CAGGACAAAUCUUUAUAGUGAAGUAUUUCAUUUACACUGAAAUUUAUUCUGUGCAAAUCAGGAUGUCUUGA